UACGUAGGGGGCUAGCGUUGUCCGGAAUCAUUGGGCGUAAAGCGCGUGUAGGCGGUCCGGUAAGUCCGCUGUGAAAGUCGAGGGCUCAACCCUCGAAUGCCGGUGGAUACUGUCGGGCUUGAGUACGGGAGAGGCGAGUGGAAUUCCUGGUGUAGCGGUGAAAUGCGCAGAUAUCAGGAGGAACACCGAUGGCGAAGGCAGAUCUCUGGGCCGUAACUGACGCUGAGGAGCGAAAGCAUGGGGGAGCGAACAGG
rnacentral:rRNA from 1 species